rnacentral:misc_RNA from 1 species
UCCCCUCCAGAGCUGUGUGUGAUCUGUGUGGAAAGUGAAGAUGAAAUGGGGAUCUUUGGGAAGGUGGAAGGUGUGGUGAAGUCUUAAGAGGGAAUGUGGUGCAAUUUUCUUCUUCUUCUUCUUCUGCUUAUUUUGAAGGGAGGGAGUUAGCCAGACGCAGCAGACAUGCAUUCCGCCCCUUCAGCAGCCAGUGGCACGGCACUGUGUCCUGUCUUCAGUACAAAGGACUAUUGCUUGUUUCGCCUGUUUAAGAUGAUAAAUGCCGUUGCCAACCAAGCACUACUUUUUGUCUUGAACUGGUGCACCAAAGGUAAAAAAAAUGAAAGUAUGACAUAUUGGUACUUUUUUACCACAGUGGAAGAUUUUUCCUGGACGAAGUUGAAGAAUGAAUUUAGAUUUGAUACAACAAUGAAGCAUGCAUUGCAAACUAAGCCACCAGAGGAGUUUGAUGUUUCGUUGCUAUCUGCUUGCAUCAGGUUUGCAUGUCGCACCAGGACUGAUGCACAGGACUUUCUUAGUCAUGUAAAGUCGUUGAAGGAUUUUAGAAAUAACAUUAUACAUGAAGGACUGGAUGACAGUUCCUCCUUCAGGCCUAAAACAGAUGACCUAGAACAGUGUCUGACAGAACUAGUAAAUUCAGCUGAGACUAUAUUUAGUAUUCCCUCCGAUGAAGUUUCUACUUUUGUUAAAACCUUGAAGGUUGAUAUCAACAAAAUUUGUUCCGAACAUUUUUCUCGAGCAGAUAUGUGUGAGUACAGAAAUGAGUAUCUUCAAGAGAAGCUCAAGAGUGUUGGUAUAGCUAACCUUAAACAUUUUUACAAGCAGUUGCAAUACAUUACUCCACUACAUUAUCUGAAUGAGAAUAUUCCCCUUCUAGUUAGCAUGAUUUACAUACAACUAGAAAUCGUGGAUGCUGGUAAAGGCAGUAAAGGGCAGCAGGUUAUUUACACUGACUUGUUUCAGCAUAUGAGUAGUACCCCAAGUGGACCCCCAAGUAACAAAGCCAAGGUCAUCUUGGUUGAAGGCCCAUCUGGAGUCGGAAAGACAACCUUGACCAGGCUGCUGAUCAAUGACUGGGAUGAGGGGGAUUCCAGCAUUGAAGGCCUUGAAGAUUUUGACUUUCUGCUUUUUGCUGAGUGCAGAGUGCCACACAUUGAGAAAUUCUCUGAACUCUUGGUCUCUUUGAUGCCAGAUAUGGCCAUGGUAUGUGAGGGAGACGAAAUACUGAAAUACUUGCUCAGAAAGAAAGUGCUUGUGAUAGUAGAUGGCCUUGAUGAGAUGAAUCCCUCAUCCAAAAAGCUCUUUCAAGAGAUCCUCUACUACACACGGACUUCCAACAUGGUUGUUUUGGCCACCACUCGGGCAGAGGCACUCAAGACGUACUACAAAAUUGUUCCAGAGGGCAUAUGCACAACACAUAUCAAAAUCAUAGGCAUUCCUGAAGACAAAAGAGAGGCAUUUGCGAUCAAGUACCAUGAAGAAAUGAAGAAGACUAAAGACUAUGGGUGUGACACUAAAGGGCUAGUACAGUAUGUACGCAGAAUGGGUAUUAACCUUACAGAGUAUUGGCGUAUUCCCCUUCACUUGGGCAAACUAGUGAUGCUAUGGGUGCUGUGGCCAGACAUUCUGAAUGCAGUAACAACUGUAACAGAGCUGUUUAAGGAAACUGAAGUUCUGAUUGACGAAGAACUUACAGACAGACUAAUAAAGAAUAAUAAAUGUAAUGAUCAACUUCCUGAAGAUAUUGCAGAGAAGAUAAAUGUCCAGUUUCGACCAGAAUUGUAUAGGCUAGCUUUGUAUGGACAAAGAGAAGAAGGGUUAAUUUUGAGUGAUAAGUCAGAGAAGUCAUUGAAAAAGGUAUGUGAGGACAUGAGACUGUCAUGGGCAGAAGUGAUCGGAGCAUUCUUUGUACAGAGAAGUAUGUGGACGAGGACAGGCACUGUGACCAAAUAUAGUUACUCUCACAGAGGGACACAGGAUUUCUAUUCUGCACUUUACAUACUGAAUGAACUCAAGAAGCCAAAGGAUGAAGCUUGUUCAGGACAAAGAAUAAGAUGUAUAUUGAAGGACGUUUAUAAGUCUGAUCCAGAAAAUUUCACCCUAAAGAAGUUUCAAGAAGUAUUAGAGCACCUGAUCAGCCUUUUGUACACAGAAGGUGAAAUCAGCAAUCAAGAGACAUCAGAGGAAAUUGUUCAGUUGUUGGAAGAAUCUGGCGUCAAUGACAAACAGGCUUGGCUGGAUAUCUUGAGCACUGUCAAGGCCAAUGAUGCCAUCACCACUCUGGUUUCAAAGUACGUUCCAGAUGUGAUGAACUUGAAAAGCCAUAUAACAAUAACUGACGCUCAGGUCUUUGUCUACUCCAAGCUAAUUGCCAGAGCAAGCCCACUGAGAGUAACCAUCAGUCUUGCAAGGAAUCCCAGCAGUGUGCCCAAUCUGCAGGACCUCCUCCUAUCCAUGCUUCCCUUGAAGUGUGAGAUGGAAGUCUAUUUCCACAGCGACUUCCUACAUCCCACCACUGCCAACUGCGCGACUGAUCUGCCACUGCUGAAGCUGUUUGAAGAGGGUUCCAUCACAAAGUACAUGGGUUCUGCAAGGAAGGAAAUCCUGAAUGGGCUUCCAGACAAUGUUGAGAUGCUAUAUAUGUCUGUUGCAGACCAAAGUCAGCUUGAAGAUUUGAUGACUACAGUCAUUAGGCUCAAACGACUGAAAUGGCUUUGUAUUCAUGCAGCAGCAGAAGUGGAUUUGGGGAGCCAGCCAGCAUUGUUCACCAUGAACCACAUCUUCUUUGAGGCUAAGAGGGAUUCAUCUGUCAAGCUGACCAUCAAAAAAAACACCAGCUGCCCCAUCAGCGAGGCGCACAUGAAGGAUGCCAUGGACGUCCUCGGAGACCGGAAAGCGAUUCUGGUAGAUCUUCACCUCAGAAAAGACUGGAGCUUGGUUGCUGAUAAAAAGAUCAUCAGAGUCACCACGACUACCAGAAGCUCCUUUGAUGUGUCAAAUCUAAAUGAAGUUCUGACUCUCUUGGAGACUCGAGGGAAUCCUGAGAAAAGGUUGAGACUCUACUUCAAGUAUGAAUCACCGCUACAUGAAAGCACAGAUUCUAGUGAUGAAGCAACCAGAUGUACAUGUCAUGCCAGAAGUUAAUCCCUCAACCUUGCAGCCUUUCACACUGUCCAAAGCUUCAUCCUUAGUGCUGUCCAGUCUCCAGGACGUCUCGGUGUCAUGGGCAGUUCGGGUCAUGGAAGCCCUGAACCUUAAUUCCUACUGUAGGUACCUGUUCCUGCCGGAGGUUAAUCUGAGUGAGGCUGGAUAUGUGGAGCUCUUAAGAUCUAUCCGUGUGAAGUGGCAUAUUGUGGCCCCAGUCUGCUGGCCCAUACGCAUAAGAUCGGCCAACUUGCGGAACA